rnacentral:tRNA from 1 species
AUUUCUCUAGUAUAACAAGUACAUUUAUUUUCCACAUAAAAAGUUUCAAUCGAAGAGAAAUA